AAACUUGUCAUAAGGGGAUUGUCUGAUG
rnacentral:piRNA from 1 species